rnacentral:rRNA from 1 species
UAUUGGACAAUGGGGGCAACCCUGAUCCAGCAAUGCCGCGUGAGUGAUGAAGGCCUUAGGGUUGUAAAGCUCUUUUACCCGGGAUGAUAAUGACAGUACCGGGAGAAUAAGCCCCGGCUAACUCCGUGCCAGCAGCCGCGGUAAUACGGAGGGUGCAAGUGUUAUUCGGAAUCACUGGGCGUAAAGAGCACGUAGGCGGAUUGGUAAGUCAGGUGUGAAAUCCCGGAGCUCAACUCCGGAACUGCAUUUGAUACUGCUAGUCUUGAGUGAGGUAGAGGGGGGUGGAAUUCCCGGUGUAGAGGUGAAAUUCGUAGAUAUCGGGAGGAACACCAGAGGCGAAGGCGACCCCCUGGGCCUCUACUGACGCUGAGGUGCGAAAGCGUGGGGAGCAAACAGG